rnacentral:snoRNA from 1 species
AUCCUUUUGUAGUUCAUAAGCAUGAUGAAUGGGUGUUCAUGCAUUUGUGUGAGAUGUGCCAUCCUCAAACUUUGCUACAACCUCGGCACAUUAUCCAUGUGACA